AGAAGGGAGUGAUUGAGAGUCCUGGGAAAGACAGGCCCUAGGAUGGUGAUCAGUGUACCACCGUAACCUCCCUCCGAGUGUACCUCACUGAGCAAUGGUUCUUGCGGAAUGCCUGGACACAGCGGCUUGCAAGCACAAGUCUUAUUCUAUGCAAUCACAUCCUGCACUACCACUGAACUCCUUCCAAACUCCUGAGGACAACAUAUGCCAAUAUUCAUCCUGGGAAAAAAGGGAGCAUUAUUUUUUUUUGGUGAGUUUCUAUUGUAAUAUAAUAAUCGCAUAAUACAAAAAAAAAAAACAUGCUCUUGAAGAAGAUUGAUGAGCAGUGAGGUUUCAUCUCUACCAAGAGUGUGUUUACAGUUAUAAAAAA